rnacentral:rRNA from 1 species
ACUCCUACGGGAGGCAGCAGUGGGGAAUUUUGGACAAUGGGCGCAAGCCUGAUCCAGCCAUUCCGCGUGAGUGAAGAAGGCCUUCGGGUUGUAAAGCUCUUUCAGUGGGAACGAAACGGUCGAUCCUAAUACGGUCGGCUAAUGACGGUACCUGCAGAAGAAGCACCGGCUAACUACGUGCCAGCAGCCGCGGUAAUACGUAGGGUGCGAGCGUUAAUCGGAAUUACUGGGCGUAAAGCGUGCGCAGGCGGUGACAUAAGACAGAUGUGAAAUCCCCGGGCUCAACCUGGGAACUGCGUUUGUGACUGUGUCGCUCGAGUGUAGCAGAGGGGGGUGGAAUUCCACGUGUAGCAGUGAAAUGCGUAGAGAUGUGGAGGAACACCGAUGGCGAAGGCAGCCCCCUGGGUUAACACUGACGCUCAUGCACGAAAGCGUGGGGAGCAAACAGGAUUAGAUACCCUGGUAGUCCACGCCCUAAACGAUGCCAACUAGGUGUUGGGGAAGGAGACUUCCUUAGUGCCGUAGCUAACGCGUGAAGUUGGCCGCCUGGGGAGUACGGUCGCAAGAUUAAAACUCAAAGGAAUUGACGGGG